ACAAGUGGGGUGCAGGUCUGGAAUAACUAUAGUGUUUGAAGUGCACAUUCCUCAGGAGGAAGACUGAGGCAAGGAAAUUAGCACAGGCCAAAGACCUUGAGAUACUGUUGCAGGUUAUGGGAUCCAGCUCCUUCCUCUGGCUGGAAAAGUGACGGACAUUUCUCUGUAACUAUUGGUUCAGAAAUUUGAACGUUUUUUUCAUUAGUGAAUAUUCAUUGUUCCAUUAUUUUUCCAUUACUUUUAAUUUUUCCAUACUUGUUUUCGAUUGCUUGAAAUAAACCAUUUCAAGUCAAAUGUAAGAACAUUUUUUGGUGUCUAAAACAUCCCUUUAUGCAGGAGGUUCCACAUCAGAAAUAAAAUCUGUUUUAUAAAAGUGUAAUAUAUUUGCAAGGCGUAUAUUUCAUUAUUCCAAUUCAAAAAAAAAGGAGCAAAAGUUUUAAAUUUAAGGAGAACAAUAGAAAUACAGCCUCCACUCACAUU